rnacentral:tRNA from 3 species
GCGGGUGUAAUUCAGUGGUAGAAUUUCUGCUUCCCAUGCAGACCGUCGUGGGUUCGAGUCCCAUCGCCCGCU